UGGGGAAUUUUGGACAAUGGGGGAAACCCUGAUCCAGCCAUCCCGCGUGUGCGAUGAAGGCCUUCGGGUUGUAAAGCACUUUUGGCAGGAAAGAAACGACAUGGGUUAAUACCCCGUGAAACUGACGGUACCUGCAGAAUAAGCACCGGCUAACUACGUGCCAGCAGCCGCGGUAAUACGUAGGGUGCAAGCGUUAAUCGGAAUUACUGGGCGUAAAGCGUGCGCAGGCGGUACGGAAAGAAAGAUGUGAAAUCGCAGGGCUCAACCUAGGAACUGCAUUUUUAACUACCGGGCUAGAGUGUGUCAGAGGGAGGUGGAAUUCCGCGUGUAGCAGUGAAAUGCGUAGAUAUGCGGAGGAACACCGAUGGCGAAGGCAGCCUCCUGGGAUAACACUGACGCUCAGGCACGAAAGCGUGGGGAGCAAACAGG
rnacentral:rRNA from 1 species